rnacentral:rRNA from 1 species
UACGUAGGGUGCAAGCGUUGUCCGGAAUUAUUGGGCGUAAAGAGCUCGUAGGCGGUUUGUCGCGUCUGCUGUGAAAACCCGAGGCUCAACCUCGGGCCUGCAGUGGGUACGGGCAGACUAGAGUGCGGUAGGGGUGACUGGAAUUCCUGGUGUAGCGGUGGAAUGCGCAGAUAUCAGGAGGAACACCGAUGGCGAAGGCAGGUCACUGGGCCGCAACUGACGCU